rnacentral:rRNA from 1 species
AAGACCUUGCACUUUUGGAGCGGCCGAUGUCUGAUUAGCUAGUUGGUGGGGUAAUGGCCUACCAAAGCUUCGAUCAGUAGCUGGUCUGAGAGGACGGCCAGCCACACUGGGACUGAGACACGGCCCAGACUCCUACGGGAGGCAGCAGUGGGGAAUUUUGGACAAUGGGCGCAAGCCUGAUCCAGCCAUGCCGCGUGAGUGAAGAAGGCCUUCGGGUUGUAAAGCUCUUUCAGCCGGGAAGAAAAGGUUGCGAUUAAUAAUCGCAAUUUAUGACGGUACCGGAAGAAGAAGCACCGGCUAACUACGUGCCAGCAGCCGCGGUAAUACGUAGGGUGCGAGCGUUAAUCGGAAUUACUGGGCGUAAAGCGUGCGCAGGUGGUUUUGUAAGUCAGAUGUGAAAGCCCCGGGCUCAACCUGGGAACU